UACGGAGGGGGCGAGCGUUAUUCGGAAUUAUUGGGCGUAAAGGGCGCGUAGGCGGCUGUACAAAGUCAAAGGUGAAAUCCCUCGGCUCAACUGAGGAACUGACCUUUGAAACUGUACGCUUGAGGCCGGGGAGGGGGGUAGCGGAAUUCCCAGUGUAGCGGUGAAAUGCGUAGAUACUGGGAGGAACACCAGUGGCGAAGGCGGCUACCUGGACCGGUUCUGACGCUGAGGCGCGAAAGCGUGGGUAGCAAACAGG
rnacentral:rRNA from 1 species